rnacentral:rRNA from 1 species
GAAUGCGACCCCAGGAUGGGCGAGGCCACCCGCCGAGUUU